rnacentral:rRNA from 1 species
CCUACGGGCGGCAGCAGUGGGGAAUAUUGGACAAUGGGGGCAACCCUGAUCCAGCCAUGCCGCGUGUGUGAAGAAGGCCCUCGGGGUGUAAAGCACUUUCAGUGAGGAAGAACGCCUGGUGGUUAAUACCCAUCAGGAAAGACAUCACUCACAGAAGAAGCACCGGCUAACUCCGUGCCAGCAGCCGCGGGAAUACGGAGGGUGCGAGCGUUAAUCGGAAUUACUGGGCGUAAAGCGCGCGUAGGUGGCUUGAUAAGCCGGUUGUGAAAGCCCCGGGCUCAACCUGGGAACGGCAUCCGGAACUGUCAAGCUAGAGUGCAGGAGAGGAAGGUAGAAUUCCCGGUGUAGCGGUGAAAUGCGUAGAGAUCGGGAGGAAUACCAGUGGCGAAGGCGGCCUUCUGGACUGACACUGACACUGAGGUGCGAAAGCGUGGGUAGCAAACAGGAUUAGAUACCCCUGUAGUC